rnacentral:rRNA from 1 species
AGAGUUUGAUCCUGGCUCAGAUUGAACGCUGGCGGCAGGCCUAACACAUGCAAGUCGAGCGGAAACGAGUUAUCUGAACCUUCGGGGAACGAUAACGGCGUCGAGCGGCGGACGGGUGAGUAAGGCCUAGGAAAUUGCCCUGAUGUGGGGGAUAACCAUUGGAAACGAUGGCUAAUACCGCAUGAUGCCUACGGGCCAAAGAGGGGGACCUUCGGGCCUCUCGCGUCAGGAUAUGCCUAGGUGGGAUUAGCUAGUUGGUGAGGUAAGGGCUCACCAAGGCAACGAUCCCUAGCUGGUCUGAGAGGAUGAUCAGCCACACUGGAACUGAGACACGGUCCAGACUCCUACGGGAGGCAGCAGUGGGGAAUAUUGCACAAUGGGCGCAAGCCUGAUGCAGCCAUGCCGCGUGUAUGAAGAAGGCCUUCGGGUUGUAAAGUACUUUCAGUCGUGAGGAAGGCGGCGUCGUUAAUAGCGGCGUUGCUUGACGUUAGCGACAGAAGAAGCACCGGCUAACUCCGUGCCAGCAGCCGCGGUAAUACGGAGGGUGCGAGCGUUAAUCGGAAUUACUGGGCGUAAAGCGCAUGCAGGUGGUUUGUUAAGUCAGAUGUGAAAGCCCGGGGCUCAA